rnacentral:rRNA from 1 species
AGAAUUUGAUCCUGGUUCAGGAUGAAUGCUGGCAGUGUACCUUAAGCAUGCAAGUCGAACGGAUGAGGCCGCAAGGCCAAAUCAGUGGCAGACGGGUGAGGAUUGACAGGAACCUACCUUUUGUUGGGGAAUAGCUCGCCGAAAGGCGAGAUAAUACCGCAUAAGAUCGCAAGAUGAAAGGCCUUAACCGGCCGACGAUAGAUGGGCCUGUUUGCUAUCAGCUAGUUGGUGAGGUAAUGGCUCACCAAGGCUAUGACGGCUAGGGGACGUGAGAGCGUGGUCCCCCACAAUGUUACUUAGACACGGAACAUACACCUACGGGUGGCAGCAACUGGGAAUUUUGCACAAUGGACGAAAGUCUGAUGCAGUGACACUGCGUGUAGGAUGAAGGCCCUCGGGUCGUAAACUACUGUGAUAGGGGAAAAAAUUUUGAUGGUACCCUAUUAGAAAGUACUUGCUAACUACGUGCCAGAAGCCUCGGUAAUACGUAGAGUACAAGCAUUAUCCGGAUUUAUUGGGCGUAAAGAGUAUCGUAGGCGGUCUAUUAAGUAACGGGUUAAAGCCCGGGGCUCAACCCCGGAGAUGUCCGUUAAACUGGUAGACUUGUGGAUGUUCGGGGUUACUAGAAUUCUUGGUGGAAGAGUGAAAUCUGUUGAUAUCAAGAAGAAUACCAAAAGCGAAGGCAGGUAACUAGGACAUUCCAGACGCUGAUGAACGAAAGCUAGGGGAGCGAAAGGGAUUUUGACUAGUCCCAUCACGCAGUAAUGCGUGAUUAAAGAAUCGGCUAUAUCGGUGAAAGUCCUUGCGGUUUCGGUUUACUUUCGGGUAUACUGAAUAAGUGAGGAAAACACCGAGGGAAGUUUUUAACUAUAAGAAGAAUGAAUUUUGUUUAACUAAAACUCAAAGGAGCGUUUUAAUUGGAACAAUGUUAGGUGAUAGUGGGUUGAGAUUUCGGGGAAUAAAUUGUCGUUUGCAUAUCAAGCAUAGUCUUAAACAGCUAAGUUUGGUGAAUUACAAAUGGCGUAUUUUUGAACCUAUUAUUUCAAUGAAAGUAAGAUGUUUCAGUCAGAAAGUCGGCAUGAAAGACUACAACUUUGCCGAGUUUGUGACUUUAACUCAUCCU